AAUAUUGGACAAUGGGCGCAAGCCUGAUCCAGCCAUGCCGCGUGUGUGAAGAAGGCCUUCGGGUUGUAAAGCACUUUUGUACGGGAAGAAAAGCCAUUGGUUAAUACUCCGUGGUCCUGACGGUACCGUAAGCAUAAGCACCGUCUAGCUUCGUGCCAGCGGCCGCGGUAAUACGAAGGGCGCAAGCGUUACCAGGAAUUAGUGGGCGUAAAGCGUGCGUGGGUGGUUUGUUAAGUCUGAUGUGAAAGCCCUGGGCUCAACCUGGGAAUGGCAUUGGAUACUGGCAGUCUAGAAUGCGGUAGAGGGUAGCGGAAUUCCCGGUGUAGCAGUGAAAUGCGUAGAUAUCGGGAGGAACAUCCGUGGCGAAGGCGGCGACCUGGACCAGCACUGACACUGAGGCACGAAAGCGUGGGGAGCAAACAGG
rnacentral:rRNA from 1 species